rnacentral:rRNA from 1 species
UAAAACCGAUAACCCCCGUUCAACCUCACCUUUCCUUGUUCUCCCCGCCUAUAUACCGCCGUCGUCAGCUUACCCUAUGAAGGUCCUUUAGUAAGCACAAUUGGGACAACCCAAAACGUCAGGUCGAGGUGUAGCGUAUGGAAAGGGAAGAAAUGGGCUACCACGAAUAAUACACUGAAACGUAUAUCUGAAGGAGGAUUUAGCAGUAAGCAGAAAAUAGAGCGUUCUGCUGAAAGGCCCUGAAGCGCGCACACACCGCCCGUCACUCUCCCCAAAUACACCCUAAAAACUUACAUCCAAAGGGGAGGCAAGUCGUAACAUGGUAAGUGUACCGGAAGGUGCACUUGGCAAAAC